rnacentral:rRNA from 1 species
GAAGAGGGAAAAGCUCAAAUUUAAAAUCUGGCAGCUUCGCUGUCCGAGUUGUAAAUUAGAGAAGUGUUGCCCGUGUUGGACCGUGUACAAGUCUCCUGGAAUGGAGCGUCAUAGAGGGUGAGAAUCCCGUCUUUGACACGGACCCCCCAAUACUUUGUGGUACACUCUCAAAGAGUCGUGUUGUUUGGGAAUGCAGCACUAAAUGGGUGGUAAAUUCCAUCUAAAGCUAAAUAUUGGCGAGAGACCGAUAGCGAACAAGUACCGUGAGGGAAAGAUGAAAAGAACUUUGGAAAGAGAGUUAAACAGUACGUGAAAUUGUUGAAAGGGAAACGCUUAAAGUCCAGUCGCGUUGGUUGGAAAUCAGUCUUGCUCUUUUGCUUGAUGUACUUUCUGACUGACGGGUCAACAUCAGUUUUGACCGGUGGAUAAAGGUUGAGGGAAUGUGGCACCCUCGGGUGUGUUAUAGCCCUUGAUUGUAUGCAUCGGUUGGGACUGAGGCUUCACACCGCAAGGUGUUGGAUGUUGGCAUAAUGGCUUUAAUCGACCCGUCUUGA